rnacentral:rRNA from 1 species
UAGCAUAUCAUAGCGGAGGAAAAGAAACCAACAGGGAUUGCCCUAGUAACGGCGAGUGAAGCGGCAACAGCUCAAAUUUGAAAUCUGGCUAUCUUACCGUAGUCCGAGUUGUAAUUUGUAGAGGAUGCUUUUGGUGAGGUGCCUUCCGAGUUCCCUGGAACGGGACGCCAUAGAGGGUGAGAGCCCCGUACGGUUGGAUACCAAGCCUUUGUAUAGCUCCUUCAACGAGUCGAGUAGUUUGGGAAUGCUGCUCUAAAUGGGAGGUAUAUCUCUUCUAAAGCUAAAUAUAGGCUAGAGACCGAUAGCGCACAAGUAGAGUGAUCGAAAGAUGAAAAGCACUUUGAAAAGAGAGUUAAACAGCACGUGAAAUUGUUGAAAGGGAAGCGCCUAUGACCAGACUUGUUUCUGGCAGUUUCGUUAGCCCUCGGGCUGAUUUACUCUGUCCAGUACAGGCCAGCAUCAGUUUGCUGUCGGGGAGAAAGGCUCUGGGAACGUAGCUCCCCCCUUCUGGGGGGGAGUGUUAUAGCCCUCUGCAUAAUACCCUUCGGCAGACUGAGGACCGCGCUUCGGCAAGGAUGCUGGCGUAAUGGUCAUCAGCGACCCGUCUUGAAACACGGACCAAGGAGUCAACCUUAUGUGCGAGUGUUUGGGUGUAAAACCCCAGCGCGUAAUGAAAGUGAACGUAGGUGAGAGCUUCGGCGCAUCAUCGACCGAUUCUGAUGUUUUCGGAUGGAUUUGAGUAAGAGCACACAGGGUUGGACCCGAAAGAAGGUGAACUAUGCUUGUAUAGGGUGAAGCCAGAGGAAACUCUGGUGGAGGCUCGCAGCGGUUCUGACGUGCAAAUCGAUCGUCAAUAUGAGCAUGGGGGCGAAAGACUAAUCGAACUUUCU